rnacentral:rRNA from 2 species
CGAACGCUGGCGGCGUGCCUAAUACAUGCAAGUCGAACGAACUCUGGUAUUGAUUGGUGCUUGCAUCAUGAUUUACAUUUGAGUGAGUGGCGAACUGGUGAGUAACACGUGGGAAACCUGCCCAGAAGCGGGGGAUAACACCUGGAAACAGAUGCUAAUACCGCAUAACAACUUGGACCGCAUGGUCCGAGUUUGAAAGAUGGCUUCGGCUAUCACUUUUGGAUGGUCCCGCGGCGUAUUAGCUAGAUGGUGGGGUAACGGCUCACCAUGGCAAUGAUACGUAGCCGACCUGAGAGGGUAAUCGGCCACAUUGGGACUGAGACACGGCCCAAACUCCUACGGGAGGCAGCAGUAGGGAAUCUUCCACAAUGGACGAAAGUCUGAUGGAGCAACGCCGCGUGAGUGAAGAAGGGUUUCGGCUCGUAAAACUCUGUUGUUAAAGAAGAACAUAUCUGAGAGUAACUGUUCAGGUAUUGACGGUAUUUAACCAGAAAGCCACGGCUAACUACGUGCCAGCAGCCGCGGUAAUACGUAGGUGGCAAGCGUUGUCCGGAUUUAUUGGGCGUAAAGCGAGCGCAGGCGGUUUUUUAAGUCUGAUGUGAAAGCCUUCGGCUCAACCGAAGAAGUGCAUCGGAAACUGGGAAACUUGAGUGCAGAAGAGGACAGUGGAACUCCAUGUGUAGCGGUGAAAUGCGUAGAUAUAUGGAAGAACACCAGUGGCGAAGGCGGCUGUCUGGUCUGUAACUGACGCUGAGGCUCGAAAGUAUGGGUAGCAAACAGGAUUAGAUACCCUGGUAGUCCAUACCGUAAACGAUGAAUGCUAAGUGUUGGAGGGUUUCCGCCCUUCAGUGCUGCAGCUAACGCAUUAAGCAUUCCGCCUGGGGAGUACGGCCGCAAGGCUGAAACUCAAAGGAAUUGACGGGGGCCCGCACAAGCGGUGGAGCAUGUGGUUUAAUUCGAAGCUACGCGAAGAACCUUACCAGGUCUUGACAUACUAUGCAAAUCUAAGAGAUUAGACGUUCCCUUCGGGGACAUGGAUACAGGUGGUGCAUGGUUGUCGUCAGCUCGUGUCGUGAGAUGUUGGGUUAAGUCCCGCAACGAGCGCAACCCUUAUUAUCAGUUGCCAGCAUUAAGUUGGGCACUCUGGUGAGACUGCCGGUGACAAACCGGAGGAAGGUGGGGAUGACGUCAAAUCAUCAUGCCCCUUAUGACCUGGGCUACACACGUGCUACAAUGGAUGGUACAACGAGUUGCGAACUCGCGAGAGUAAGCUAAUCUCUUAAAGCCAUUCUCAGUUCGGAUUGUAGGCUGCAACUCGCCUACAUGAAGUCGGAAUCGCUAGUAAUCGCGGAUCAGCAUGCCGCG